UGCCAGCAAGCGCGGUAAUACGAAGGGGGCUAGCGUUGCUCGGAAUUACUGGGCGUAAAGGGCGCGUAGGCGGACAGUUUAGUCAGAGGUGAAAGCCCAGGGCUCAACCUUGGAAUUGCCUUUGAUACUGGCUGUCUUGAGUUCGGGAGAGGUGAGUGGAAUGCCGAGUGUAGAGGUGAAAUUCGUAGAUAUUCGGCGGAACACCAGUGGCGAAGGCGACUCACUGGCCCGAUACUGACGCUGAGGCGCGAAAGCGUGGGGAGCAAACAGGAUUAGAUACCCUGGUAGUCCACGCUGUAAACGAUGAGUGCUAGUUGUCGGCAUGCAUGCAUGUCGGUGACGCAGCUAACGCAUUAAGCACUCCGCCUGGGGAGUACGGUCGCAAGAUUAAAACUCAAAGGAAUUGACGGGGGCCCGC
rnacentral:rRNA from 1 species